UUAUUGUCCAGCCAUCUGAAGAGUGUCUUCUAGAAUAAGGUGAAAGAACAGAGAGGGCAAGGAAGAACUGAGAGCAUAUGGAGAUUUAAAUUCACUUCCCCUAUUUCACCGGACAGUCAAUUGUGUAAAACAUAGGUCCCAGCAGUGAUGCAAUAGAAGGAGCAUAGGAAGACAGAAGUCAACAAAUGACCAUCCAGUGCAGCUAGCAACGUGCUCAGUAUCAAC
rnacentral:lncRNA from 1 species